GAUGAACGCUGGCGGCGUGCCUAAUACAUGCAAGUCGAGCGAACAGACGAGGAGCUUGCUCCUCUGACGUUAGCGGCGGACGGGUGAGUAACACGUGGAUAACCUACCUAUAAGACUGGGAUAACUUCGGGAAACCGGAGCUAAUACCGGAUAAUAUAUUGAACCGCAUGGUUCAAUAGUGAAAGACGGUUUUGCUGUCACUUAUAGAUGGAUCCGCGCCGCAUUAGCUAGUUGGUAAGGUAACGGCUUACCAAGGCAACGAUGCGUAGCCGACCUGAGAGGGUGAUCGGCCACACUGGAACAGAGACACGGUCCAGACUCCUACGGGAGGCAGCAGUAGGGAAUCUUCCGCAAUGGGCGAAAGCUUGACGGAGCAACGCCGCGUGAGUGAUGAAGGUCUUCGGAUCGUAAAACUCUGUUAUUAGGGAAGAACAAAUGUGUAAGUAACUAUGCACGUCUUGACAGUACCUAAUCAGAAAGCCACGGCUAACUACGUG
rnacentral:rRNA from 1 species